CUAGUCUAGUCCUUAUGUUUUUUCAACAAACUAAAACAAAUUUCAAGAAACAUAAAAACAAGUCAAAUAGAAAGAAAAGGGGAUUAAAAAGACCAAACCAUAAAAACAACAAUAAAAAAAAGCCAUACAGCUUUAACUAACUGAGCCGAUUCAAUGGCAACUGAAACAGAACCCAGCAUACCCAGAUCAGGUUAUUCAAUAAACGUCAAGCGGUGGAGAAUGGGCAAGAAA